rnacentral:rRNA from 1 species
CCUACGGGAGGCAGCAGUGGGGAAUAUUGCACAAUGGGGGAAACCCUGAUGCAGCGACGCCGCGUGAGCGAUGAAGUAUUUCGGUAUGUAAAGCUCUAUCAGCAGGGAAGAAAAUGACGGUACCUGACUAAGAAGCCCCGGCUAACUACGUGCCAGCAGCCGCGGUAAUACGUAGGGGGCAAGCGUUAUCCGGAUUUACUGGGUGUAAAGGGAGUGUAGACGGCUUGGCAAGCCAGAUGUGAAAGGCUGGUGCUCAACCCCAGGACUGCAUUUGGAACUGUCAUGCUAGAGGGUCGGAGAGGCAGGCGGAAUUCCUAGUGUAGCGGUGAAAGGCGUAGAUAUUAGGAGGAACACCAGUGGCGAAGGCGGCCUGCUGGACGAUGACUGACGUUGAGGCUCGAAAGCGUGGGGAGCAAACAGGAUUAGAUACCCGAGUAGUC